UGCGGCUGGAACACCUCCUUUCUAGAGACAUAAAAAAGACCUAGGGUCUUACUCUCGCUGUUAGUUCAAAAAAAAAGACUUAAAAUACAGAGUCUCGUAGCUCAGCUGGUUAGAGUACUACACUGAUAAUGUAGGGGUCGGCAGUUCGAGUCUGCCCGGGACUACUUUUAACAAGUAUUUUAAGAGAAAAAGGAAAUUUUAGAAGUUGAGUCCUUGAAUUUUGAAAUUUGAGAUUUAAAUUUUGAAAUUGAAAACGGGGGAUUAGCUCAGCUGGCUAGAGCGCCUGCCUUGCACGCAGGAGGUCAUCGGUUCGACUCCGAUAUUCUCCACGAAAAAAAUGAUAAUUAUCAAUUGAUAAUUGUUAAUUGAUUAAAGUUCAUUGACAUAUUGAGAUAAACAUACAAACAAGUAGAAAGAACACAAAAAAAUGUGAAUUUUAAAUUGUGAAUUAUGAAUUGAUUCAUCAUUUAUAAAUUAACAUUUAUAAUUAAAAAAGAAACAAUAAGCAAAAUAAGGGCGUAUGGGGGAUGCCUAG
rnacentral:misc_RNA from 1 species